rnacentral:rRNA from 1 species
GACGAACGCUGGCGGCGUGCUUAACACAUGCAAGUCGAGCGAGAAACCCUCUUCGGAGGGGAGUACAGCGGCGAACGGGUGAGUAACACGUGGGUGACCUGCCCUCAGCUCUGGGAUAAGCCUGGGAAACCGGGUCUAAUACCGGAUAUGACUCCAUGACGCAUGUUGUGGGGUGGAAAGCCUUGUGCGGCUGAGGAUGGGCCCGCGGCCUAUCAGCUUGUUGGUGGGGNGAUGGCCUACCAAGGCGACGACGGGUAGCCGGCCUGAGAGGGCGACCGGCCACACUGGGACUGAGACACGGCCCAGACUCCUACGGGAGGCAGCAGUGGGGAAUCUUGCGCAAUGGGCGAAAGCCUGAUCCAGCAACGCCGCGUGAGUGAUGAAGGCC